rnacentral:rRNA from 1 species
AUAGGCCCCGGGGAGUCGUCAACCAGGCUUUGAUCCGGGGGUGUCCGAAUGGGGAAACCCGGCAGUCGUCAUGGGCUGUCACCCGCUGCUGAACACAUAGGCAGUGUGGAGGGAACGCGGGGAAGUGAAACAUCUCAGUACCCGCAGGAAGAGAAAACAACCGUGAUUCCGGGAGUAGUGGCGAGCGAAACCGGAUGAGGCCAAACCGUAUGCGUGUGAGACCCGGCAGGGGUUGCGUAUGCGGGGUUGUGGGAUCUCUCUUCCACGGUCUGCCGGCCGUGGGACGAGUCAGAAACCGUUGAUGUAGGCGAAGGACAUGCGAAAGGUCCGGCGUAGAGGGUAAGACCCCCGUAGUCGAAACGUCAGCGGCUCGUUUGAGAGACACCCAAGUAGCACGGGGCCCGAGAAAUCCCGUGUGAAUCUGGCGGGACCACCCGCUAAGCCUAAAUAUUCCCUGGUGACCGAUAGCGGAUAGUACCGUGAGGGAAUGGUGAAAAGUACCCCGGGAGGGGAGUGAAAUAGUACCUGAAACCGUGUGCCUACAAGCCGUGGGAGCGUCGGAUGCAUGCUUGCUUGUGUCUCGUGACUGCGUGCCUUUUGAAGAAUGAGCCUGCGAGUUUGCGGUGUGUUGCAAGGUUAACCCGGGUGGGGUAGCCGUAGCGAAAGCGAGUCCGAAUAGGGCGUUUCAGUAGCACGCUCAAGACCCGAAGCGGAGUGAUCUAGCCAUGGGCAGGUUGAAGCGGAGGUAAGACUUCGUGGAGGACCGAACCCACCAGGGUUGAAAACCUGGGGGAUGACCUGUGGUUAGGGGUGAAAGGCCAAUCAAACUCCGUGAUAGCUGGUUCUCCCCGAAAUGCAUUUAGGUGCAGCGUCGUGUGUUUCUUGCCGGAGGUAGAGCACUGGAUAGGCGAUGGGCCCUACCGGGUUACUGACCUUAGCCAAACUCCGAAUGCCGGUAAGUGAGAGCGCGGCAGUGAGACUGUGGGGGAUAAGCUCCAUGGUCGAGAGGGAAACAGCCCAGAGCAUCGACUAAGGCCCCUAAGCGUACGCUAAGUGGGAAAGGAUGUGGAGUCGCAGAGACAACCAGGAGGUUGGCUUAGAAGCAGCCACCCUUGAAAGAGUGCGUAAUAGCUCACUGGUCUAGUGAUUCCGCGCCGACAAUGUAGCGGGGCUCAAGCGUACCGCCGAAGUCGUGUCAUUGCAGCAUAUGGGCCAACGCCUGCUGUGAUGGGUAGGGGAGCGUCGUCUGCCGGGUGAAGCAGCACCGGAAGGUAGUUGUGGACGGUUGACGAGUGAGAAUGCAGGCAUGAGUAGCGAUACAAACGUGAGAAACGUUUGCGCCGAUUGACUAAGGGUUCCUGGGUCAAGCUGAUCUGCCCAGGGUAAGUCGGGACCUAAGGCGAGGCCGACAGGCGUAGUCGAUGGAUAACCGGUUGAUAUUCCGGUACCCGCUGUGAAGCGUCAAACAUCGAGCAUCGUGAUGCUAAGGCCGUGAAGCCGCCCUGGAUCCUUCGGGUGAAGGGGAGUGGUGGAGCCGCUGAACCAAGCGGUUAGUAGGUGAGUGAUGGGGUGACGCAGGAAGGUAGUCCAUCCCGGGCGGUGGUUGUCCCGGGGUAAGGGUGUAGGCCGGUGUGUAGGUAAAUCCGCACACCUUGUGGCUGAGACCUGAUGCCGAGCCGAUUGUGGUGAAGUGGAUGAUCCUAUGCUGUCGAGAAAAGCCUCUAGCGAGUUUCAUGGCGGCCCGUACCCUAAACCGACUCAGGUGGUCAGGUAGAGAAUACCGAGGCGUUCGGGUGAACUAUGGUUAAGGAACUCGGCAAAAUGCCCCCGUAACUUCGGGAGAAGGGGGGCCACACCUGGUGAUGAGUCUUGCACUCUGAGCUGGGGGUGGCCGCAGAGACCAGCGAGAAGCGACUGUUUACUAAAAACACAGGUCCGUGCGAAGCCGUAAGGCGAUGUAUACGGACUGACGCCUGCCCGGUGCUGGAACGUUAAGGGGACCGGUUAGCUUGGAUUCGUCCAGGCGAAGCUGAGAACUUAAGCGCCAGUAAACGGCGGUGGUAACUAUAACCAUCCUAAGGUAGCGAAAUUCCUUGUCGGGUAAGUUCCGACCUGCACGAAUGGCGUAACGACUUCUCGACUGUCUCAACCAUAGGCCCGGUGAAAUUGCACUACGAGUAAAGAUGCUCGUUUCGCGCAGCAGGACGGAAAGACCCCGGGACCUUUACUACAGUUUGAUAUUGGUGUUCGGUUCGGCUUGUGUAGGAUAGCUGGGAGACUGUGAAGCAGGCACGCCAGUGUUUGUGGAGUCGUCGUUGAAAUACCAGUCUGGUCGUGCUGGAUGUCUAACCUGGGUCCGUGAUCCGGAUCAGGGACAGUGUCUGAUGGGUAGUUUAACUGGGGCGGUUGCCUCCUAAAGGGUAACGGAGGCGCCCAAAGGUUCCCUCAGCCUGGUUGGCAAUCAGGUGUUGAGUGUAAGUGCACAAGGGAGCUUGACUGUGAGACCGACGGGUCGAGCAGGGACGAAAGUCGGGACUAGUGAUCCGGCGGUGGCUUGUGGAAGCGCCGUCGCUCAACGGAUAAAAGGUACCCCGGGGAUAACAGGCUGAUCUUCCCCAAGAGUCCAUAUCGACGGGAUGGUUUGGCACCUCGAUGUCGGCUCGUCGCAUCCUGGGGCUGGAGUCGGUCCCAAGGGUUGGGCUGUUCGCCCAUUAAAGCGGUACGCGAGCUGGGUUUAGAACGUCGUGAGACAGUUCGGUCCCUAUCCGCUGUGCGC